UACGUAGGGUGCGAGCGUUGUCCGGAAUUAUUGGGCGUAAAGAGCUCGUAGGCGGUUUGUUGCGUCGGCUGUGAAAACCUGCGGCUUAACUGUGGGCUUGCAGUCGAUACGGGCAGACUUGAGUUCGGCAGGGGAGACUGGAAUUCCUGGUGUAGCGGUGAAAUGCGCAGAUAUCAGGAGGAACACCGAUGGCGAAGGCAGGUCUCUGGGCAUUAACUGACGCUGAGGAGCGAAAGCAUGGGGAGCGAACAGG
rnacentral:rRNA from 1 species